rnacentral:rRNA from 1 species
GAGUUUGAUCUUGGCUCAGAUUGAACGCUGGCGGCAUGCCUUACACAUGCAAGUCGAACGGCAGCACGGGAGCUUGCUCCUGGUGGGCGAGUGGCGAACGGGUGAGUAAUGCAUCGGAACGUAUCCUGGAGUGGGGGGAUAACGUAGCGAAAGUUACGCUAAUACCGCAUAUUCUGUGAGCAGGAAAGCGGGGGACCUUCGGGCCUCGCGCUCUUGGAGCGGCCGAUGUCGGAUUAGCUAGUUGGUGAGGUAAAGGCUCACCAAGGCGACGAUCCGUAGCAGGUCUGAGAGGAUGAUCUGCCACACUGGAACUGAGACACGGUCCAGACUCCACGGGAGGCAGCAGUGGGGAAUUUUGGACAAUGGGGGCAACCCUGAUCCAGCCACGCCGCGUGAGUG